AUUCCAGCUCCAAUAGCGUAUAUUAAAGUUGUUGCAGUUAAAAAGCUCGUAGUCGGAUUUUGGCAUCACGCCGAACUGUCUGCCGAUUGGUAAGUACGGUUUGGCGGGUGCUUCCUUCCGGAGGCUCGUUCCCUUCUUCAUUGAAGGGUUCGUUGGUUCCGGGUCUUUUACUUUGAGAAAAUUAGAGUGUUCAAAGCAGGCCUAUGCUCUGAAUAGGUUAGCAUGGAAUAAUAGAAUAGGACUUUGGUUCUAUUUUGUUGGUUUCUAGGACCGAUGUAAUGAUUAAUAGGGACAGUUGGGGACAUUUAUAUUCCAUGGCUAGAGGUGAAAUUCUUGGAUUCAUGGAAGAUAAACUACUGCGAAAGCAUUUGUCAAAGAUGUUUUCAUCG
rnacentral:rRNA from 1 species